rnacentral:rRNA from 1 species
UACGUAGGGGGCAAGCGUUGUCCGGAUUUAUUGGGCGUAAAGAGCGUGUAGGCGGUUUGGUAGGUCCGUUGUGAAAACUCGAGGCUCAACCUCGAGACGCCGAUGGAAACCAUCAGACUAGAGUCCGGAAGAGGAGAGUGGAAUUCCUGGUGUAGCGGUGAAAUGCGCAGAUAUCAGGAAGAACACCCGUGGCUAAGGCGGCUCUCUGGGCCAUAACUGACGCUGAGACGCGAAAGCGUGGGGAGCGAACCGG